CCACCAUCUUGGAAGCGGCCCACCACCAUCUUGGAAGUGGCUUGCCACCAUCUUGGGAGCUCUGUGAGCAGGGACCUCCAUAACAUUUUGGCAACCACGAAGGGACAUCCAAAGCUUAUUGCCUAACGGUCCACAAUAAAACAUUCUCACUUUGGUAACUGUAUAAAAAUAGAAGUACAUUACAUAAAAAAGCUGAGAAGUUUGAAUUUGGGAGCUACUUCCUUACUUCCUAGAUUUAUUCUAAACAAAUGCGAAAUUACACUUUAAGGACAGGAUAAGAUUUAUCAUUGACAUUUCUACAUUUUCCGUGGUGGAAGCAGAGCCAGCAUCACCAACUCUUUUAAACUUAUUCCUGAUUGAUGUUUAACGAAUCCCAGAACUCUAGAAGACAGCAUCGACAGAACAAUGAAUGGGGGCAACAAAUUUCUCAUCCCAAACCACCCUUAUU